UGGUUAAAUUCUUCAGACCAUUCCUUUUGAUCAUAGUCCUGCGGGAAAUGUUUCAGACACCAAUGUGGUAUCACUUUCAGUGUAUUCUACGGGCGCAGCUCUGUUGGCAAGUUGUAACAAGAGAAAUGAGAAAUCCAUAGAACUGAAAGAGAAAUAUAGCGUCGCGAUUUCACGAGGGGCAACAGAACUGCAAAUGAGCAAGAUUGAGAUAUUUUCCGUGAACUAUGAUCUUAAGGGGGACCUAAAUCUGCUGAAGGUUCAAUACUUCACUAUGUUAGGUGUUGUGGAAAAUCAGGAAGAUGUUUUAUUUUAGCAUCACAGCUUAAAAGCAGUGAUGGAUGGUCCAAGUGCAACCAGUUCAUUCACUGAACUCUUACUUUCUUGAAAAACUUGAACGAGUUAGUUUUUAAAAUUUUUAAAUAUAAAAUGGCUUAAGGCUUGACAUAAUAAUUUGUAAUCUCAUACUUAUCUUGAAUACGAUUUUCUACCACUUGUAGCCAAAAAACAAGUAGCUAGUAUUCCUUGCAACCGAAUCUUUUACACCAAAGAGUAAUUCCUUCUAGCUAUGUUGACUUCAUAGUAGUGUAUCUUUAUGGUCCGUUGUUGUACCCGACCAUGGGCUUACAGUUAGGUAACUACGUUAGUCAUGCAAGCAGUGGGUCUGAAAGGUCAUGUUUGGUUCAGGUAAUAAUCUCCCCUUGAUUUUCAAACCACUUUUUUCCCUUUCAUUAGGUUUAGCUGUUUAGUAUUUGUUGAAAAUGAGUUACUUUCCCUGUGAACCAUAUGAUAACUGUCCCCUAAACCAGAGUUGACAAUGUAAAUCUCAGUGUCUUUUAUUCCAUUGCAGAGGAAGUAACUUAGGACCUACUAGAUGCCACUUAAUAACAUGAAAAUUAUUAUUUUUUUCUUUUUUUCCCAUUUUGAUGCACGAAAUCUGUUUUAAAAAAUUCUCUGAAAGUGGCCAGUUCUGAAGUAGUAAUGUCAUUUUGACUUGUUUAUAUACAU